rnacentral:rRNA from 2 species
GGAUGCGAUCAUACCAGCACUAAAGCACUAGAUCCCAUCAGAACUCCGAAGUUAAGCGUGCUUGGGCGAGAGUAGUACUAGGAUGGGUGACCUCCUGGGAAGUCCUCGUGUUGCAUUCC